AACGAACGCUGGCGGCAUGCCUAACACAUGCAAGUCGAACGAGACGUUCGGGUCUAGUGGCGCACGGGUGCGUAACGCGUGGUAACCUGCCCUUAGGUUCGGAAUAACUCCCCGAAAGGGGUCCUAAUACCGGAUAAUCUCUUACGACCUAAGAUUUAUGGCCUUUGGAUGGGCGCGCGUUGGAUUAGCGAGUUGGUAGGGUAAAAGCCUACCAAGGCGACGAUCCAUAGCUGGUCUGAGAGGAUGAUCAGCCACACUGGGACUGAGACACGGCCCAGACUCCUACGGGAGGGAGCAGAGGGGAAUAUUGUACGAUGGGCGAAAGCCUGAUCCAGCAAUGCCGCGGGAGUGAUGAAGGGCUUAGUGUUGUAAAGCUCUUUUACCCGGGAUGAUAAUGACAGUACCGGGAGAAGAAGCACCGGCUAACUACGUG
rnacentral:rRNA from 1 species